rnacentral:rRNA from 1 species
AGAGUUUGAUCAUGGCUCAGGAUGAACGCUAGCGGCAGGCCUAAUACAUGCAAGUCGAACGGUUGUAGUAAUACAAUAGUGGCGCACGGGUGCGUAACACGUAUGCAACCUACCUUAUAUUGGGGGAUAGCCUUUGGAAACGGAGAUUAAUACCCCAUAGCAUCGUGAUAAGGCAUCUUAUUACGAUUAAAGAUUUAUCGAUAUAAGCUGGGCAUGCGUCCAAUUAGUUAGUUGGCGGGGUAAUGGCUCACCAAGACGAUGAUUGGUAGGGGAACUGAGAGGUUAAUCCCCCACACUGGCACUGAGAUACGGGCCAGACUCCUACGGGAGGCAGCAGUAGGGAAUAUUGGGCAAUGGAGGCAACUCUGACCCAGCCAUGCCGCGUGCAGGACGAAGGCGUUAUGCGUUGUAAACUGCUUUUAUAUAGGAAGAAAGAGUUCUUGCGAGAACAGUUGACGGUACUAUAUGAAUAAGCACCGGCUAACUCCGUGCCAGCAGCCGCGGUAAUACGGAGGGUGCAAGCGUUGUCCGGAUUUAUUGGGUUUAAAGGGUGCGUAGGCGGUUUAUUAAGUCAGUGGUGAAAGACGGUCGCUCAACGAUUGCAGUGCCAUUGAUACUGGUAGACUUGAGUGAAUUUGAGGUAGCUGGAAUGGAUA